rnacentral:rRNA from 1 species
CAUUAGCGUAUAUUAAAGUUGUUGCAGUUAAAAAGCUCGUAGUUGGAUUUCGGUGUGGGCCAGUCGGUCGGCCGCAAGGCCUGUUACUGACUGGUUCGCUCUUCCUCUCAAAGACUGCACGUGCCCUUCGCUGGGUGUGUGUAUUGGAUUUGGGACGUUUACUUUGAAAAAAUUAGAGUGUUCAAGGCAGGCUUUGAGGCUUGAAUACAUGAGCAUGGAAUAAUGGAAUAGGACCUCGGUCCCUAUUUCGUUGGUUUUACGGACCGAAGUAAUGAUUAAGAGGGACAAUUGGGGGCAUCCGUAUUUCGUAGUCAGAGGUGAAAUUCUUGGACCUACGAAAGACGAACAACUGCGAAAGCAUUUGCCAAGAGUGUUUUCAUUAA